rnacentral:rRNA from 1 species
GAUGAACGCUAGCUACAGGCUUAACACAUGCAAGUCGCGGGGCAGCAUGGGGGUUGCUUGCAAUCCCCGAUGGCGACCGGCGCACGGGUGAGUAACGCGUAUCCAACCUGCCCUUCACCACGGGAUAACCCGGCGAAAGUCGGACUAAUACCGUAUGUUGUCCAUUGACGGCAUCCGAUUUGGACGAAAGGUUUGGCGGUGAAGGAGGGGGAUGCGUCCGAUUAGCUGGACGGCGGGGUGACGGCCCACCGUGGCGACGAUCGGUAGGGGUUCUGAGAGGAAGGUCCCCCACACUGGAACUGAGACACGGUCCAGACUCCUACGGGAGGCAGCAGUGAGGGAUAUUGGUCAAUGGGCGUAAGCCUGAACCAGCCAAGUAGCGUGCAGGAUGACGGCCCUAUGGGUUGUAAACUGCUUUUAUGCGGGGAUAAAGUGGCCCACGUGUGGGUUUUUGCAGGUACCGCAUGAAUAAGGACCGGCUAAUUCCGUG